GAGUUUGAUCCUGGCUCAGGAUGAACGCUGGCGGCGUGCUUAACACAUGCAAGUCGAACGGUGAAGCUCCAGCUUGCUGGAGUGGAUCAGUGGCGAACGGGUGAGUAACACGUGAGCAACCUGCCCCGGACUCUGGGAUAACAGUUGGAAACAGCUGCUAAUACCGGAUACGCACCAGAGCGGCAUCGUUACUGGUGGGAAAGAUUUUUUGGUUCGGGAUGGGCUCGCGGCCUAUCAGCUUGUUGGUGAGGUAAUGGCUCACCAAGGCGUCGACGGGUAGCCGGCCUGAGAGGGUGACCGGCCACACUGGGACUGAGACACGGCCCAGACUCCUACGGGAGGCAGCAGA
rnacentral:rRNA from 1 species